CGAAGCGUGCGAUUGGAUUGCACGUCUAAGCAGUAAGGCUGAGUAUUAGGCAAAUCCGGUACUCAUUAAGGCUGAGCUGUGAUGGGGAGAAGACAUUGUGUCUUCGAGUCGUUGAUUUCACACUGCCGAGAAAAGCCUCUAGAUAGAAAAUAGGUGCCCGUACCGCAAACCGACACAGGUAGUCAAGAUGAGAAUUCUAAGGUGAGCGAGCGAACUCUCGUUAAGGAACUCGGCAAAAUGACCCCGUAACUUCGGGAGAAGGGGUGCUCUUUAGGGUUAACGCCCAGAAGAGCCGCAGUGAAUAGGCCCAAGCGACUGUUUAUCAAAAACACAGGUCUCUGCUAAACCGUAAGGUGAUGUAUAGGGGCUGACGCCUGCCCGGUGCUGGAAGGUUAAGAGGAGUGGUUAGCUUCUGCGAAGCUACGAAUCGAAGCCCCAGUAAACGGCGGCCGUAACUAUAACGGUCCUAAGGUAGCGAAAUUCCUUGUCGGGUAAGUUCCGACCCGCACGAAAGGCGUAACGAUUUGGGCACUGUCUCAACGAGAGACUCGGUGAAAUCAUAGU
rnacentral:rRNA from 1 species